rnacentral:tRNA from 1 species
UGGGGUGGAGCUCAGCGGUACAGCACCUGCUUAGCAUGCGCGGGAACCUGGGUGCAAAACCCAGCACUGCAA